rnacentral:rRNA from 1 species
ACUCAAAGGAAUUGACGGGGGCCCGCACAAGCGGUGGAGCAUGUGGUUCAAUUCGACGCAACGCGAAGAACCUUACCGGGGUUUGAACUGUAUGGGACAGCUCUAGAGAUAGAGUUUUCCUUCGGGACCCAUAUAGAGGUGCUGCAUGGCUGUCGUCAGCUCGUGUCGUGAGAUGUUGGGUUAAGUCCCGCAACGAGCGCAACCCUCGCCUCCUGUUGCCAACAGAUAAUGCUGGGCACUCUGGAGAGACUGCCGGUGACAAACCGGAGGAAGGUGGGGAUGACGUCAAGUCCUCAUGGCCUUUAUGCCCCGGGCUACACACGUGCUACAAUGGUCGGUACAAAGGGUUGCAAUACCGUGAGGUGGAGCUAAUCCCAAAAAACCGAUCCCAGUUCGGAUUGGAGUCUGCAACUCGACUCCAUGAAGCUGGAAUCGCUAGUAAUCGCGGAUCAGAAUGCCGCGGUGAAUACGUUCCCGGGCCUUGUACACACCGCCCGU